rnacentral:rRNA from 1 species
GACGAACGCUGGCGGCGUGCUUAACACAAGCAAGUCGAACGGAAGGGCCCUGCUUUUGUGGGGUGCUCGAGUGGCGAACGGGUGAGUAACACGUGAGUAACCUGCCCUUGACUUUGGGAUAACUUCAGGAAACUGGGGCUAAUACCGGAUAGGAGCUCCUGCUGCAUGGUGGGGGUUGGAAAGUUUCGGCGGUUGGGGAUGGACUCGCGGCUUAUCAGCUUGUUGGUGGGGUAGUGGCUUACCAAGGCUUUGACGGGUAGCCGGCCUGAGAGGGUGACCGGCCACAUUGGGACUGAGAUACGGCCCAGACUCCUACGGGAGGCAGCAGUGGGGAAUAUUGCACAAUGGGCGGAAGCCUGAUGCAGCAACGCCGCGUGCGGGAUGACGGCCUUUGGGUUGUAAACCGCUUUCGCUUGUGACGAAGCGUGAGUGACGGUAAUGGGUAAAGAAGCACCGGCUAACUACGUG